UACGAAGGGUGCAAGCGUUACUCGGAAUUACUGGGCGUAAAGCGUGCGUAGGUGGUUUGUUAAGUCUGUUGUGAAAGCCCCGGGCUCAACCUGGGAAUGGCAAUGGAUACUGGCAAGCUAGAGUGCGGUAGAGGGUAGUGGAAUUCCCGGUGUAGCGGUGAAAUGCGUAGAGAUCGGGAGAACACCAGUGGCGAAGGCGGCUACCUGGACCAGCACUGACACUGAGGCACGAAAGCGUGGGGAGCAAACAGG
rnacentral:rRNA from 1 species